rnacentral:sRNA from 1 species
GUUGAAUCAUCAUCCCUC